rnacentral:lncRNA from 1 species
ACAGACCCAGUGCAGCUCCCUCAGGGUUAGCAGCUCUGAGCUCUGAGGGUCAGCGACUCUCAGGUCUUGGUGUUGGCAGCUCUCCUGUCAGUCAGAAGCUCUCUGGAACCCGUCCAGCAGCCAGAGCUAGCAGCUCUCAGAAGAGGCCUUACUAGGACUCUGCUGCAGCCUAAGGGGAAGCAGCACCCCGACGGACCUGGGAAGGGUGUGUGGAAGCUGCAUAGGCAAAAUGUCAGGCCCACACAUGUGCGAUCUCUGCCAACCAACUGCAGCCUCUCUGCUUAGUCAUUGGGUCAGAGAGGGGCCCUUGCUGAUCAGACUGGGACUAGCUGAAGGGCUGAAGAGAGGUGGGGUCACCAGAGAGGCUGCAGGACAAAGUCAUUUGGGCCUGACCCACCACCAAAGCUGCCAAAGCCUAAGCAAACUCCUCCAAGCUGCCGGCUGUCAGACACAGAAGGCAGAAAUAAAGAGUCUCUUGGGAGCAUCGGGUGCUUCUCUUCUGCCUCCCUGUUGGGGCACAGAGGUGGCAGUGGGCAUCCUGCUUGGGAACCUUUUGGGUGGGAGCCGCAUUUUAAGCCUUGGAGGAUGCUCUGGGGGAGGGAGCAGCACCAGCAAAGCCGUGGAGGCCAGCGCACAGUCAUGAAGCCACAGGUGUCUGGGGCACUGCAGCAGGGGCACACAGAGCACUUGGGGUUAUUUUAUUUUGAGACAGACUCUUGCUAAUUUGCUCAGGCUGGUCUUGAGCUGCCUCAGUCUCCCAAGUAGCUGAGGUUACAGGUGUGCACCAGCAUGGCUGGCCAGGAAUCAACAUUUUUAAGGGGCCCAGGUGGGCAGAGCAAACUGAAAUUUGGCCCACACAUAUGUGGAGACAGAGGAGCUAUGUGCCCUGCUCUCAUUUUCUCCUUUCCCACGUGACUUCAGCUAGUGACAACAUCAAGGCCUCUUCUGGAUGGUUCUAUUUUGCCUAACUGCUGGGAGCUGCUAGCUCUGGCUGCUGGAAUGGAAGCACCAUGAUGGAACAGAAAUCUUAACUGUGCUCUGCUGUCACUCAUGAGAGUCCCUGCCUCUACCUGCAGGAGAAGGAAGGGGUGUGGGGGGCCCCUUCUCUGCC